GCCUUCGUAGUGUAGUGGUCAGCACGCUCGAUUCGCAUUCGAGAAGUCCGAAUUCGAGUCCCGGCGAGGGCA
rnacentral:tRNA from 1 species